AUUGAACGCUGGCGGCAGGCCUAACACAUGCAAGUCGAACGGUAACAGGAAGAAGCUUGCUUCUUUGCUGACGAGUGGCGGACGGGUGAGUAAUGUCUGGGAAAUUGCCUGAUGGAGGGGGAUAACUACUGGAAACGGUAGCUAAUACCGCAUAACGUCGCAAGACCAAAAAGGGGGACCUUCGGGCCUCUUGCCAUCUGAUGUGCCCAGAUGGGAUUAGCUAGUAGGUGGGGUAACGGCUCACCUAGGCGACGAUCCCUAUCUGUUCUGAGAGGAUGACCAGCCAAACUGGAACUGAGACACGGUCCAGACUCCUACGGGAGGCAGCAGUGGGGAAUAUUGCACAAUGGGCGCAAGCCUGAUGCAGCCAUGCGGCGUGUAUGAAGAAGGCCUUCGGGUGGUAAAGUACUUUCAGCGGGGAGAAAGGGAGUAAAGUUAAUACCUUUGCUCAUUGACGUUACCCGCAGAAGAAGCACCGGCUAACUCCGU
rnacentral:rRNA from 1 species